UAUUCCCAAGCAGUCUCCCAUCCAAGUACUAACCAAGCCUGGCCCUGCUUAGCUUCUGAGAUUAGACGAGAUUGGGUAUGUUCAGGGUGG
rnacentral:sRNA from 1 species